ensembl:snRNA U2 U2 spliceosomal RNA
AUCGCUUCUCGGCCUUUUGGCUAAGAUCAAGUGUAGGAUUUUCCUUUCAGUCAUUCAAACUGAAUGAAAAGUUUACCCCUUAGUGUCAAGCCCUCUGAGUGACUGACUACUCUGACAGGUUAAGUUGGAUUACAGCAGUGGCCGAAGCAUC